CCGGGAGCCCGUGGAGAGUCUGGAGUCGGGAAAGGGGUCCGGUUGACAAGGCUCGCAGUUAGUGGCAAAGGUUGGAGAGUCAUGCUGGAGUGACAAUGAAACGUGGCUUCAAAAGAAGAAAGACUGAAGCCAGCCAAGCAGAGGUCACAGAAUACAGUCUCACAUGCGACCUGGUUUAUCAAAUCAAUCUAAACACGCACGGAGAAGCAAGACCGGAGCUAGACACUCUCCUGCUGGCCUUGAAGAAGCGAGCUUUCAUGUUGAGAACUGCCUAUGGAGAGGGCCACGUGGCAGGGAACUGCAGAUGGUUUCUAGCACCUGGGUGUGGCCUCCAGCUGACAGCCAGUAAGAAGCCAGGGCCCUCAGCCCUACAACCACAAGGAAAUGAAUUAUGCCAACAACCUGAGACGGCUUGGAAGUGGAUUCUUCCCCAGUCAGGCCUCCAGAUGAGAAGACAACGUGACUUACACCUUGAUUGCAGCUUUGUGAGACCCUGAGCAGAGGAACCAGCUCAGCUGUGCCCGUAAUCCUGGCCCACAGAAACUAUACUCAUUGGCACCCAGGACCCUUAUCAUCAUGAAAUACUAUUGAACACAGUAUUUCAGUCAGCUGGGGAGUCAUUUACUCAUUGUCAUCCAUGAGCUGGAAAUUCAUGAGUGUGUGAACGUAAGUAUCACUUUAUUGUGAGCUCAGUAUGGGUUGGUCUUCCUGGGUCAGGUCCUCUCUAGAUGCCUGACAAAUCCAUUUUCUGGAGUGUAGGGACCUUGCCAAGGUAAUGCCCCCUGUGAAGAACUGUGUAAAUUGCCCUCUGAUCUUUCUGAACAUACACCCCUCAUUGAAAGACUUAUUCAGGAAGAAAAGAUGUGCUUAGCAGAAGACCAGAGGUGUACACAUAUGUGUACACGCACGUCAGCCUUCCACAUGGAUAUAAUGUAGUGUUAACAUUGAAAAAAGCCUGAAGGAAUGGUCAAUGUUCAGGGUAUAAUAUAAAUUACUUUGUAAGAUAAU